GAUGAACGCUGGCGGCGUGCCUAAUACAUGCAAGUCGAGCGAACAGACGAUGAGCUUGCUCCUCUGACGUUAGCGGCGGACGGGUGAGUAACACGUGGAUAACCUACCUAUAAUACUGGGAUAACUUCGGGAAACCGGAGCUAAUACCGGAUAAUAUAUUGAACCGCAUGGUUCAAUAGUGAAAGACGGUUUUGCUGUCACUUAUAGAUGGAUCCGCGCCGCAUUAGCUAGUUGGUAAGGUAACGGCUUACCAAGGCAACGAUGCGUAGCCGACCUGAGAGGGUGAUCGGCCACACUGGAACUGAGACACGGUCCAGACUCCUACGGGAGGCAGCAGUAGGGAAUCUUCCGCAAUGGGCGAAAGCUUGACGGAGCAACGCCGCGUGAGUGAUGAAGGUCUUCGGAUCGUAAAACUCUGUUAUUAGGGAAGAACAAAUGUGUAAGUAACUAUGCACGUCUUGACGGUACCUAAUCAGAAAGCCACGGCUAACUACGUG
rnacentral:rRNA from 1 species